rnacentral:rRNA from 1 species
UACAGAGGCCUCGAGCGUUAGGCGGAAUCACUGGGCUUAAAGCGUGUGUAGGCGGACUUCUAAGUACCUUGUGAAAUCCCACGGCUUACCCGUGGAACGGCUGGGUAUACUGGGAGUCUUGAGCCACCUAGGGGCGAGUGGAACAAAUGGUGGAGCGGUGAAAUGCGUAGAUAUCAUUUGGAACGCCAAUGGUGAAAACAACUCGCUGGGGGUGUGCUGACGCUGAGACACGAAAGCCAGGGGAGCAAACAGG